AUUGAACGCUGGCGGCAUGCCUUACACAUGCAAGUCGAACGGUAACAGGUCUUCGGAUGCUGACGAGUGGCGAGCGGGUGAGUAAUACAUCGGAACGCGCCCGAGAGUGGGGGAUAACGAGGCGAAAGCUUUGCUAAUACCGCAUACGAUCUCAGGAUGAAAGCAGGGGACCGCAAGGCCUUGGGCUGACGGAGCGGCCGAUGGCAGAUUAGGUAGUUGGUGGGAUAAAAGCUUACCAAGCCGACGAUCUGUAGCUGGGCUGAGAGGACGACCAGCCACACUGGGACUGAGACACGGCCCAGACUCCUACGGGAGGCAGCAGUGGGGAAUUUUGGACAAUGGGCGCAAGCCUGAUCCAGCCAUGCCGCGUGCAGGAUGAAGGCCUUCGGGUUGUAAACUGCUUUUGUACGGAACGAAAAGACUCCUUCUAAUAAAGGGGGUCCAUGACGGUACCGUAAGAAUAAGCACCGGCUAACUACGUGCCAGCCGCCGCCGUAA
rnacentral:rRNA from 1 species